AAUCCUGGCUCAGGAUGAACGCUAGCUACAGGCUUAACACAUGCAAGUCGAGGGGAAACGACAUCGAAAGCUUGCUUUUGAUGGGCGUCGACCGGCGCACGGGUGAGUAACGCGUAUCCAACCUGCCUACCACUUGGGGAUAACCUUGCGAAAGUAAGACUAAUACCCAAUGAUAUCCCACGAAGGCAUCCGAAUGGGAUUAAAGAUUUAUCGGUGAUGGAUGGGGAUGCGUCUGAUUAGCUUGUUGGG
rnacentral:rRNA from 1 species